rfam:Gossypium arboreum cultivar AKA8401 contig_11830_1, whole genome shotgun sequence.
CUUUAAAAAUUUAAUCCUUUUUUACAGUUAAAAAUUGGCAUGACUAAUGAAAUAAUAAGACAAUUACACUUGACAUGUAAUGUGUACCUCAUAUUUACAUACAUUGACAAGGUUUUAAUAUUAAAAAUGGGUGGAAUUUAUAAUA